rnacentral:rRNA from 1 species
GGACUUGACGGUACUCCACAUCCCUCUAGAGGAGCCUGUCCUAUAACCGAUACCCCCCGUUUAACCUCACCAUUUUUAGUCUCUCAGCCUGUAUACUUCCGUCGCCAGCUUACCGCGUGAGCGAGUAAGCUUAAUGUACCCAUCAAUACGUCAGGUCAAAGUGCAGCAAAUAAAAUGGCAAGAGAUGGGCUACACUUUCUAUCUUAGAAAACACGAAAGACUAUGUGAAAUCACAGUCAGAAGGUGGAUUUAGUAGUAAGAAAAAAUAGAAUAUUCUUUUUAACCCGGCACUGGAGUGUGUACACACCGCCCGUCACCCUCUUCAACAAAGUAGUAUUUAACAACUAAUUACAUAGAAGAGGUAAGUCGUAACAUGGUAAGUAUA